UACAGAGGUCCCAAGCGUUGUUCGGAUUCAUUGGGCGUAAAGGGUGCGUAGGCGGCGCGGUAAGUCGGGGGUGAAAUCUCGGAGCUUAACUCCGAAACUGCAUUCGAUACUGCCGUGCUGGAGGACUGGAGAGGAGACUGGAAUUUACGGUGUAGCGGUGAAAUGCGUAGAUAUCGUAAGGAAGACCAGUGGCGAAGGCGGGUCUCUGGACAGUUCCUGACGCUGAGGCACGAAGGCCAGGGGAGCAAACGGG
rnacentral:rRNA from 1 species